rnacentral:tRNA from 1 species
ACUACUUUGGCAGAGAUAAGUGCAUUGGAUUUAGAAUUCAAUAAUGUGGAUAUUUACCACAGGUAGUA